UAAAAAAUAAAAACGGCGAAAGAUACUUUUUGAUCUUUUGCGGUAAUUACGCGUAUUAAUUAGGAAACUGGCUUUCAUACGGCUAUCACACAAGCGGUAUCGAAUACAAAUAGAAACUCUAUAAGUUGCGCCCGUAUGCGCGUGGAUUCUUGAUAUAAUGUACAUUGUCUUGACUGCCAUAAUAGGCAUAUACAUAUACCACGCACACGGAUAUGUGCGUAAGUACACACUCCCACACACAUACACGCACUUACAUACAUACACGAGCGAGCGGACCACGUUCGUGGACGGAUUUUGCAGAAUAUUCGAUAAAGUAUUUUUGUGACUAUUCAUCAUGACCCUAGGCUUAACCAUCCGGUCGAGCGUGAUCGACCACGUGCCCGUCUACAUCGACUGCAACGACGAGGCGACAUAAAACGAGGCGAGAGACACAUUUGAGCAACUCUUACACUACUCUUCGGUGCAGUUUAUAAAGCCAGAAGUGCGUCUGGACUUAGGGAAGGCACAUAACAUGUUGACAUCGCUGUGAUCGUCCGAAAUUCAAUUCCGCAAAUACAAUACUGCCGCGAUAAAAACCUUAAUAGACGAAUAAAAACUUUGCAGGACAUAAUAACGUUCCACACACGUGCCGUUUAACGAUACGCAGACUGACGAAUCAAUGAACGAGAUUCGAUUUUGGACGAGCACAGCUCCGAUCAUAUAGACCAAUAGAAACAACGAUACCUCAAGAAGACUCAAUAGUUAAUUAUCUCUAACUCAUUGACUUGUACAGAAUUGAUAUUCUUUUACAGUUGAGAAUAACACACGCACUGUGGGAAAAAAAAGAGAAGCAUUACGCGAGACAAAGGAAUCGCAUAGCCGCGAUAAUGAUUGUGCCCCUCUCCCCCCUUUCUUCCCCGUCCCCCUUUUCGUAUCGUAUACAUAUAUAUGUAUACCUAUAUAUAUAUAUGUUUAAUUGCGUCUCCGUGCUCGCAUUUUGCACUCCGUGAAAAGCGUACGAAAGCCGCCGUGGGAGAAAAAAAAUAUACGUUCGUAAUAAACGGAAGACAAAAAGCGUUAAUCUUUUUCCAAGCACUGUUCAAGUUGUUCCUAUAGCUACGCGAAAAUUGUUUCUUUCGGCAAUUAAAUCCUCUAUAUCUAUA